GGGGGACAUGGGCGAUGAAGAAGAAGAAUAAGGAAAAGGAGGAGGAAAAGGAGGAGAAAGAAGGAAGCAUGGCGCGCAACGCAUGCAGUCAGAAAAGAGGAGUUGCACGCAGUAUCGGGCGCGUGGUGCGCGCUGUUGAAGAAGAAGUAGUAGAAAAAGAAGGAGGAUGAGGAAAGAAGCAUGGCGCACGCAACCAGAAAAAAAGAGUUUUGUGUGGUGCCAGGCACGCAGCGUGUGGUGUUGGACUCGCGGUGCGCACUAUUGAAGAAGAAGAAGCAAAGUGCAGUGUUGGGUGGACCUAAUCUGCAUGAGGCAGACCAUGACACGGCGUUUCAGAUCCGUUCAAAGAUCCAUGCGAGGCCAACAAAAAGGGAAUCGAAGAGAGACAAAAAUCACACUCUUUUGAGUCGGAAGUUCGAAUUUGACACCAAUUUUGGUAAAUUUUCUUCCACCUUAUAUUUAGUUAUUCUUUUAGAUUAAAUUCUUAAUCAUACGUAUGAAAUUUUUAGGGAAAUUGGGAAUAGAAAACUGAAAAGGG
rnacentral:lncRNA from 1 species